rnacentral:rRNA from 1 species
UACGGGGGGUGCAAGCGUUGUUCGGAAUUACUGGGCGUAAAGGGCUCGUAGGUGGCCAACUAAGUCAUACGUGAAAUCCCUCAGCUUAACUGGGGAACUGCGGCUGAUACUGGAUGGCUUGAGUUUGGGAGAGGGAUGCGGAAUUCCAGGUGUAGCGGUGAAAUGCGCAGAUAUCAGGAGGAACACCGGUGGCGAAGGCGGGUCUCUGGGCCGUAACUGACGCUGAGGAGCGAAAGCGUGGGGAGCAAACAGG